rnacentral:lncRNA from 1 species
UUAUAAACCUUCAACAGCAUGUGGAUUAUACAAACCACCAUCAACUAGUGUAUCUUUGGGAAACAUGCAAUAGAUCGAAAACUUAAAAUGGAUCUCUUAUACCACAAAACCUAUCUUUGGGAAACCUGCAAUAGAUCGAAAACUUAAAAUGGAGCUCUCAUACCACAAAACCUACACAUGAAGAAAAACACCCAACUUGUUAGGCAUACAAUUAAGCAACCAGUGUCUCAUUCCAAAAAAGUAGGAAGCAAUCAUUGAGCGGUGGGUUGAAACUUUUUUUAGCACACAAAUAUCUGAACUUACAGGUCUUCAUCUCUAUAAAGGGCUUGCUUAAGGAGCAUAAGAUCCCCUAUCCUAACUGAAGUCACAGUAUCUGCCUAAUGAAAGGUUAAAUUAUCACUUGUACAAAUCAAAAUGGUUACAGGGAAACCUUCAGGUAAGUUAUUUUUCAUUUCUCCGCUGUAUUACCAUUUCAACUUUGUUGUUUUCUAUAAUGGACUAUAAUGGGGCAAGUUCCUAUAUAUUGGUUUUGUGAAUCAGAGCACAAUUGCAAUAAUCUUUAUAUUGGCAUUUCAAACUAUAACAAAAAUAAUUUUCAGCAUAAAGACCUCAAAGGGUUCUUGCAUGUACGGUAUAAAUGUCCAGUUUGAGUUGUACUCACAUAUAUUAUAAUGCACUGUGCACCCACAUGCAAAAUUACCAUAAGUGGUCAAUAUAUUGUCUUAACACACAACUAAGAAUGGGGUAUAAAAAUAUGUUUACUUGAGGAAUCAGAUCUAUUUUGUUGCAACAUUUUUUUUACAUUUAGAAAAAGAAGGAUGAAUUAAUACCUAAUACAUUCAGCAACACUUCAAGUCGGUAACAUUAACUAAUAAACUAAUUAAGUGCAUAUGACCUUUUCCGGGAAUGCAAAAACAAAAAUAGCAGUUAGAAUAUCAAUGUCCAUAUAAAAAAAUAUAGCACUUGUUCUGUCCAAACAUCAGACUUCCAAAACACAAAUAAACAGAUGAGAACAACCACACAAUUGAAAACUACUCCCUCCAAAUAUAAAUGUAAGGUGUUUCAAAUUAGUAACCUAAAAUGUCUGACAUU